rnacentral:rRNA from 1 species
GAUCCUGGCUCAGGAUGAACGCUAGCUACAGGCUUAACACAUGCAAGUCGAGGGGCAGCAUUUCAGUUUGCUUGCAAACUGGAGAUGGCGACCGGCGCACGGGUGAGUAACACGUAUCCAACCUGCCGAUAACUCGGGGAUAGCCUUUCGAAAGAAAGAUUAAUACCCGAUAGUAUAAUUAGACCGCAUGGUCUUAUUAUUAAAGAAUUUCGGUUAUCGAUGGGGAUGCGUUCCAUUAGGCAGUUGG